rnacentral:rRNA from 1 species
AGUGAACGCUGGCGGUAGGCCUAACACAUGCCAGUCGAACGGCAGCACAGUAAGAGCUUGCUCUUACGGGUGGCGAGUGGCGGACGGGUGAGGAAUACAUCGGAAUCUACUUUUUCGUGGGGGAUAACGUAGGGAAACUUACGCUAAUACCGCAUACGACCUACGGGUGAAAGCAGGGGAUCUUCGGACCUUGCGCGAUUGAAUGAGCCGAUGUCGGAUUAGCUAGUUGGCGGGGUAAAGGCCCACCAAGGCGACGAUCCGUAGCUGGUCUGAGAGGAUGAUCAGCCACACUGGAACUGAGACACGGUCCAGACUCCUACGGGAGGCAGCAGUGGGGAAUAUUGGACAAUGGGCGCAAGCCUGAUCCAGCCAUACCGCGUGGGUGAAGAAGGCCUUCGGGUUGUAAAGCCAUUUUGUUGGGAAAGAAAAGCAGCAGGUUAAUACCCCGCUGUUCUGACGGUACCCAAAGAAUAAGCACCGGCUAACUUCGUG